UUUACCCGACUGCGCCAGAAGGAGGGUUAUGUUUUUCGAGUGUAUGUAUGUAUGUAUGUAUGUAUGUAUGUAUGUAUGUAUGUAUAAUUGUUUGGCACGCUCUGCAGCCUAAACGGCUUGAUGGAUUUUGACUUGAGAGGUGUCGUUAGAUUCGUAUUUACUGUGAGAGUGA